rnacentral:lncRNA from 1 species
AUGUGUCCAGGACAACUUAUACUGAUUUAUGGAGAGCCAAGUGUUGGUUGUGUUCUUUUUCAGCAGGAAGUGGUAUGGAGCAUCACUGCAGUCCCUUUGAAGACCUGUCUCUGCAGGGAGCUCAGCAGGGCCUUUCAUCAGGAACCCCAAGGUGUCUCUGACUGCCAUGGAGAGAUUUUCUUGGCUUGAGGUAGAUACAAUUUUGGUGGGCAGGUUAGCAUUUUUAGAUCUAUUUUGUGUCUUCAAUGUGAGUUAAUUUAACUCC